rnacentral:rRNA from 1 species
AGUCGAGGGGCACGGAUAGAGUACUUCGGUACUCUUGCCGGCGACCGGCGGACGGGUGCGUAACGCGUAUGCAACCUACCUUCAACAGGGGGAUAAUCCGAAGAAAUUUGGUCUAAUACCCCAUAAUAUUCCGACAGGCAUCUGUUGGAGUUGAAAGCUUCGGUGGUUGGAGAUGGGCAUGCGUUGUAUUAGCUAGAUGGUGAGGUAACGGCUCACCAUGGCGAUGAUACAUAGGGGGACUGAGAGGUUUUCCCCCCACACUGGUACUGAGACACGGACCAGACUCCUACGGGAGGCAGCAGUGAGGAAUAUUGGUCAAUGGACGGAAGUCUGAACCAGCCAUGCCGCGUGCAGGAUGAAUGUGCUAUGCAUUGUAAACUGCUUUUGUACGAGGGUAAACACAGAUACGCGUAUCUGCUUGAAAGUAUCGUACGAAUAAGGAUCGGCUAACUCCGUGCCAGCAGCCGCGGUAAUACGGAGGAUCCGAGCGUUAUCCGGAUUUAUUGGGUUUAAAGGGUGCGUAGGCUGUUUUUUAAGUUAGAGGUGAAAGCUCGACGCUCAACGUCGAAAUUGCCUCUGAUACUGAGAGACUAGAGUGUAGUUGCGGAAGGCGGAAUGUGUGGUGUAGCGGUGAAAUGCUUAGAUACCACACAGAACACCGAUUGCGAAGGCAGCUUUCCAAGCUAUUACUGACGCUGAGGCACGAAAGCGUGGGGAGCGAACAGGAUUAGAUACCCUGGUAGUC